AAACUACUUCCUCCGUUUUAAAAAAUGUAUCUUAGAUUUAUGUAGAUAUGAAUGUAUCUAGUCAAGCUUUAGUAUAUGAAUACAUUCAUUUCUAAAUAAAACUAAGACAAGAAUUUUAAGACGGAGGAAAUACAUU
rnacentral:pre_miRNA from 1 species